UACGUAGGGGGCAAGCGUUGUCCGGAAUCAUUGGGCGUAAAGCGCGUGUAGGCGGCUCGAUAAGUCUGCUGUGAAAGUCCAGGGCUCAACCCUGGGAUGCCGGUGGAUACUGUCGAGCUCGAGUCCGGAAGAGGAGUGUGGAAUUCCUGGUGUAGCGGUGAAAUGCGCAGAUAUCAGGAGGAACACCGGUGGUGUAGACGGCUCUCUGGACCGUAACUGACGCUGAGACACGAAAGCGUGGGUAGCAAACAGG
rnacentral:rRNA from 1 species